rnacentral:lncRNA from 1 species
AGACUCCUGGGUGGCAUGGAGCUCUUGCACCUCUAGGCACUGCCCAGCCCUGUGUCAGCCAGGGCUGAACCCCCACAGGAUAAGGAAGCCUGUGUGUGUACCAACAAUCAAAGCUACAUCUGUGACACAACAGGACACUGCUAUGGGCAGUCUCAGUGUUGUAACUACUACUAUGAACAUUGGUGGUUCUGGCUGGCGUGGACCAUCACCAUCAUCCUGAGCUGCUGCUGUGUCUGCCACCACAGCCAAGCCAGCCCUCAAGUCCAGCAGUAGCAACAUGAAAUCAACCUGACUGCCUAUCCAGAAGCCCGCAAUUACUCAGUGCUACCAUUUUAUUUCACCAAACUAUUUAUUACCUUCUUAU